rnacentral:rRNA from 1 species
CACGUAGGGCGCAAGCGUUUGUCCGGAAUUAUUGGGCGUAAAGAGCUCGUAGGCGGUCUGCCACGUCCGCUGUGAAAACCUAGGGCUUAACCCUGGGCUUGCAGUAGAUACGGGCAGACUAGAGGUAGGUAGGGGAGAAUGGAAUUCCCGGUGUAGCGGUGAAAUGCGCAGAUAUCGGGAGGAACACCGGUGGCGAAGGCGGUUCUCUGGGCCUUACCUGACGCUGAGGAGCGAAAGCGUGGGGAGCAAACAGGAUUGAGAUACCGU